AGUGAACGCCGGCGGUAGGCCUAACACAUGCAAGUCGAACGGCAGCACAGUAAGAGCUUGCUCUUACGGGUGGCGAGUGGCGGACGGGUGAGGAAUACAUCGGAAUCUACUUUUUCGUGGGGGAUAACGUAGGGAAACUUACGCUAAUACCGCAUACGACCUACGGGUGAAAGCAGGGGAUCUUCGGACCUUGCGCGAUUGAAUGAGCCGAUGUCGGAUUAGCUAGUUGGCGGGGUAAAGGCCCACCAAGGCGACGAUCCGUAGCUGGUCUGAGAGGAUGAUCGGCAACGCUGGAACUGAGACACGGUCCAGACUCCUACGGGAGGAAGCAGUGGGGAAUAUUGGACAAUGGGCGCAAGCCUGAUCCAGCCAUACCGCGUGGGUGAAGAAGGCCUUCGGGUUGUAAAGCCCUUUUGUUGGGAAAGAAAAGCAGCAGGUUAAUACCACGCUGUUCUGACGGUACCCAAAGAAUAAGCACCGGCUAACUUCGUG
rnacentral:rRNA from 1 species